UACGGGGGGGGUAAGCGUUGUUCGGAAUUACUGGGCGUAAAGGGCUCGUAGGCGGCCAACUAAGUCAGACGUGAAAUCCCUCGGCUUAACCGGGGAACUGCGUCUGAUACUGGAUGGCUAGAGGUUGGGAGAGGGAUGCGGAAUUCCAGGUGUAGCAGUGAAAUGCGUAGAUAUCGUAAGGAAGACCGGUGGCGAAGGCGGCGUUCUGGACUGCAACUGACACUGAGGAACGAAAGCCAGGGGAGCAAACGGG
rnacentral:rRNA from 1 species